rnacentral:rRNA from 1 species
UACGGAGGGUGCAAGCGUUAUCCGGAUUUACUGGGUUUAAAGGGUGUGUAGGCGGGUCUAUAAGUCAGUGGUGAAAUCUCCGGGCUCAACCCGGAAACUGCCAUUGAUACUAUAGGUCUUGAAUAUUGUGGAGGUGGGCGGAAUGUGUCAUGUAGCGGUGAAAUGCUUAGAGAUGACACGGAACACCGAUUGCGAAGGCAGCCCACUAAGCAAUGAUUGACGCUGAGGCACGAAAGCGUGGGGAUCAAACAGG